CAUAGCUACACGCUUAUUUUUCCCCCCCAGUCUAGUACUGAAAAGGGAUUUUUAUCUUAACAUCAAACUGUAGCAUAGGCCAAGCGUUCGCCAAUGCAGGAGGAAGGUCGCCAAUAGAGCGUGGACCCGAAAGAUUGCCCUCUACCCUUUGGGAGACCCCACAAACAUCGGCCUAACGUUUAUAUUUUCAGCGAGUUCUCAUUCUCGGACCACUAAAGAAUGAAACCGCAGAAAGGUGAAGUCGUUAUAUUGAACCAAACAAAACCAGGAUAAAGGUUUCGCCCAAAGGACUGGUUAUACAUGGAAAGAAGCGUCAGAGACAACAUGACAAUUAUCUCUGUCAUGGUAUCACAAAUGAAAUAUUCAUCCAAAGAAAAUUUCUGAAAAAUGAAGCAGGCCGUACUAAUGAACAUUCAGACUGCAAUAUUUAUGACUCUCAAAUA